GAGAACUGUACUGAACGCUGGAUGAUUACCCUAGAGAGUCGUGUUGUUUGUGAGGGCAUACAACCAAGAUUCCUGACUGCAAUAGCAACCAUGUUUGCAAUGUUCUACGUCUUCAAUCUUAAGUAUCCAGAGGAGGCAUGUGGCACCUUGGAAUUCAUUCAAAGACGAUUCGUUGGGAUAAACCCUGAAAGAGGUACGAAGACCUGCAGAGGCAAGGUGGUUUCAAAGAAGACUGGAAAACUUGUCAGCAAGAAGUCUGCCACUGUCAAUCCCAAAGUUGCUUCUCUCCUGAAGAACCUCAUCGAUUUCGAAUGGAACUUCGUCUAGAUCGGGAUUUCCUCUCAGGCCAGAUGUGUCAAAAGCUGAGGUGGGACGUGUUGGCUGUUUUUUGCCUCUUCCUACAGUUUUUUCACCCAUUGGAUCUCUUGUCCUCUCAGGCCAGAUCUUUUGGCUGUUUUUUGCCUCUGUCAAGGAUUUUUCAUCCAUUGGUUCCUUAAUAUUUUCCUCUCAGACUCAGAAUUCCUCUCUUGCCUGGAUGCUGAUGUGACAUGUUGAAUGUAAGGUUUCUUUGUUUGCCUACUGUUUCCUCACAUUUUACAAUGUAUUUUCUGUGACUUUUUUUCCCUUAACUGUUAAUGUAUUGUUAAAAUUUGUUAGCUGUUUUAAAUAAAUGGCAAACAAUACUG